rnacentral:rRNA from 1 species
UUGAACGCUGGCGGAAUGCUUUACACAUGCAAGUCGAGCGGCAGCGCGGGGGCAACCCUGGCGGCGAGCGGCGAACGGGUGAGUAAUACAUCGGAACGUGCCCGAUCGUGGGGGAUAACGCAGCGAAAGCUGUGCUAAUACCGCAUACGAUCUACGGAUGAAAGCAGGGGACCGCAAGGCCUUGCGCGGACGGAGCGGCCGAUGGCAGAUUAGGUAGUUGGUGGGAUAAAAGCCUACCAAGGCGACGAUCCGUAGCUGGUCUGAGAGGAUGAUCAGCCACACUGGGACUGAGACACGGCCCAGACUCCUACGGGAGGCAGCAGUGGGGAAUUUUGGACAAUGGGCGCAAGCCUGAUCCAGCCAUGCCGCGUGAGUGAAGAAGGCCUUCGGGUUGUAAAGCUCUUUCAGACGGAAAGAAAUCGGGCGCGUGAAUAGCGUGCCUGGAUGACGGUACUGUCAGAAGAAGCACCGGCUAACUACGU